GAUGAACGCUGGCGGCGUGCCUAGCACAUGCAAGUCGAGCGAUUCUCUUCGGAGAAGAGCGGCGGAUGGGUGAGUAACGCGUGGGUAACCUGCCCUGUACACACGGAUAACAUACCGAAAGGUAUGCUAAUACGAGAUAAUAUGCUUUUGACGCAUGGUAGAAGUAUCAAAGCUCCGGCGGUACAGGAUGGACCCGCGUCUGAUUAGCUAGUUGGUAAGGUAACGGCUUACCAAGGCGACGAUCAGUAGCCGACCUGAGAGGGUGAGCGGCCACAUUGGAACUGAGACACGGUCCAAACUCCUACGGGAGGCAGCAGUGGGGAAUAUUGCACAAUGGGCGAAAGCCUGAUGCAGCAACGCCGCGUGAGCGAUGAAGGCCUUCGGGUCGUAAAGCUCUGUCCUCAAGGAAGAUAAUGACGGUACUUGAGGAGGAAGCCCCGGCUAACUACGUGCCAGCCGCCGCGGUAA
rnacentral:rRNA from 1 species